GAUGAACGCUGGCGGCGUGCCUAAUACAUGCAAGUCGAGCGAACGGACGAGAAGCUUGCUUCUCUGAUGUUAGCGGCGGACGGGUGAGUAACACGUGGAUAACCUACCUAUAAGACUGGGAUAACUUCGGGAAACCGUAGCUAAUACCGGAUAAUAUUUUGAACCGCAUGGUUCAAAAGUGAAAUACGGUCUUGCUGUCACUUAUAGAUGGAUCCGCGCUGCAGUAGCUAGUUGUUAAGGUAACGGCUUACCAAGGCAACGAUGCAUAGCCGACCUGAGAGGGUGAUCGGCCACACUGGAACUGAGACACCGUCCAGACUCCUACGGGAGGCAGCAGUAGGGAAUCUUCCGCAAUGGGGGAAAGCCUGACGGAGCAACGCCGCGUGAGUGAUGAAGGUCUUCGGAUCGUAAAACUCUGUUAUUAGGGAAGAACAUAUGUGUAAGUAACUGUGCACAUCUUGACGGUACCUAAUCAGAAAGCCACGGCUAACUACGUG
rnacentral:rRNA from 1 species